ensembl:lncRNA
UCCUAGCGGGUCAGUAAGUGUCUGCUAGUGAUUCUGUUACGCUUGUGAAGUGUGUGUUGUGGUGUGAGUGAGUGUUGGGGAGGUAGUGUGUGUGUUGGGGUGGUAGUGUGUUUGUGUUGUGGUGUGAAGUGUGUGUUGUGGUGUGAGUGAGUGUUGGGGAGGUAGUGUGUGUGUGUUGGGGAGUGAAGUGUGUGUGUUGGGGAGGUAGUGUGUGUGUUGGGGUGGUAGUGUGUUUGUGUUGUGGUGUGAAGUGUGUGUUGUGGUGUGAGUGAGUGUUGGGGAGGUAGUGUGUGUGUGUUGGGGAGUGAAGUGUGUGUGUUGGGGAGGUAGUGUGUGUGUUGUGGCGUGAAGUGUGUUGGGGAGGUAGUGUGUGUGUUGUGGUGUGAAGUGUGUGUGAUGGGGAGGUGCACUCAUGGCUGUGAUGCAG